UUUGAUCAUGGCUCAGAUUGAACGCUGGCGGCAGGCCUAACACAUGCAAGUCGAGCGGCAGCACAGAGAAACUUGUUUCUCGGGUGGCGAGCGGCGGACGGGUGAGUAAUGCCUGGGAAAUUGCCCUGAUGUGGGGGAUAACCAUUGGAAACGAUGGCUAAUACCGCAUGAUGCCUACGGGCCAAAGAGGGGGACCUUCGGGCCUCUCGCGUCAGGAUAUGCCCAGGUGGGA
rnacentral:rRNA from 1 species